rnacentral:rRNA from 1 species
AUUGAACGCUGGCGGCAUGCUUUACACAUGCAAGUCGAACGGUAACAGGCCUUCGGGUGCUGACGAGUGGCGAACGGGUGAGUAAUGCAUCGGAACGUGCCCAGAGGUGGGGGUAAAGCCGCGAAAACUGGGGUAAAACCGCAUUGUAUCCUGGGAUGGAAGCGGGGGACCAAGCAGCCAUGGUUGGCCCCGCGCCUCUUGGGCGGCCGAUGUCAGAUUAGGUAGUUGGUGGGGUAAAGGCCUACCAAGCCGACGAUCUGUAGCUGGUCUGAGAGGACGACCAGCCACACUGGGACUGAGACACGGCCCAGACUCCUACGGGAGGCAGCAGUGGGGAAUUUUGGACAAUGGGCGCAAGCCUGAUCCAGCAAUGCCGCGUGCGGGAAGAAGGCCUUCGGGUUGUAAACCGCUUUUGUACGGAACGAAAAGGCUCUGGCUAAUACCUGGGGCUGAUGACGGUACCGUAAGAAUAAGCACCGGCUAACUACGUG